rnacentral:misc_RNA from 1 species
CAACCCUCGAACCCCUCCGGGGGGUCGGCGUUGGGGAUCGGCCCCGUCACCGGGUGCCGUCCCCCAAAUACAGUGGCGGUCUCGCCGCAGCCUCUCAUGCGCAGUAGUUUGCACACUCGCACCGGGAGCGCGGCGCGUCCUCGUCCGUAAAACACCCCAAACUUCUGAAAUG